rnacentral:tRNA from 1 species
ACCUGACUGGCUCAGUUGUUAGAGGUCUGACUCUUAUUCUCAGGGUCAUGAGUUUAAGUCUCAUGUUAGGCA